CUUUGGCCAUGAUGGCGAUCUCUGCGUCUCUCUUCUCCACCUCGUCUGCAGGGGUCCAGGACAUGUCAUGCUGAAGCUUGAAUGCACCAAGAAAUGGAUGAGGGCGGCUCGGUCCCCACUCCUUUAGAGAGCAGAAAAGAGGUUACUGUGGAGCUAACCACAGCCAGUGGGAUGUGGGGUUAGAUGCUGAUCAAGCUUACAGAUGUCCUGGCUCUCUUAUUCCUGCACAGCGCCUCUUAUGCAUUUACCUUUCUUCUCGGACCUCUGGAUGUUGAUGCAUAGCACUGCAGAAACCCGAGUUCCUGUUGCAAUCAGCAAAGAGGAUUCUGCAGAUACACGUCUUGCAAAUGUAGUUCUACAUCUUGAAGUUCUCAUCCUAUUGUCAUUAAACAGCCAUAAACUUGAA